UACGGAGGGGGCUAGCGUUGUUCGGAAUUACUGGGCGUAAAGGGCGCGUAGGCGGUAGCACAAGUCAGUUGUGAAAUCUCCGGGCUUAACUCGGAAAGGUCAACUGAUACUGUGCGACUAGAGUGCGGAAGGGGCAACUGGAAUUCUCGGUGUAGCGGUGAAAUGCGUAGAUAUCGAGAGGAACACCUGCGGCGAAGGCGGGUUGCUGGGCCGACACUGACGCUGAUGCGCGAAAGCGUGGGGAGCGAACAGG
rnacentral:rRNA from 1 species